rnacentral:rRNA from 1 species
GAUGAACGCUGGCGGCGUGCUUAACACAUGCAAGUCGAACGGAAAGGCCGAAGCUUGCUUCGGUACUCGAGUGGCGAACGGGUGAGUAACACGUGGGUGAUCUGCCCUGUACUUCGGGAUAAGCUUGGGAAACUGGGUCUAAUACCGGAUAUGACAAUCUCUUGGAUGGGGUUGUGGAAAGCUUUUGCGGUAUGGGAUGAGCUCGCGGCCUAUCAGCUUGUUGGUGGGGUAAUGGCCUACCAAGGCGUCGACGGGUAGCCGGCCUGAGAGGGUGUACGGCCACAUUGGGACUGAGAUACGGCCCAGACUCCUACGGGAGGCAGCAGUGGGGAAUAUUGCACAAUGGGCGCAAGCCUGAUGCAGCGACGCCGCGUGGGGGAUGACGGCCUUCGGAUUGUAAACUCCUUUCGCAACCGACGAAGCUUUUGUGACGGUAGGUGGAGAAGAAGCACCGGCUAACUACGUG